AAUAGAUACCCAGGUAGUCCACGCCGUAAACGUUGGGCGCUAGAUGUGGGGACCUUUCCACGGUUUCCGUGUCGUAGCUAACGCAUUAAGCGCCCCGCCUGGGGAGUACGGCCGCAAGGCUAAAACUCAAAGGAAUUGACGGGGGCCCGCACAAGCGGCGGAGCAUGCGGAUUAAUUCGAUGCAACGCGAAGAACCUUACCAAGGCUUGACAUACACGAGAACGGGCCAGAAAUGGUCAACUCUUUGGACACUCGUGAACAGGUGGUGCAUGGUUGUCGUCAGCUCGUGUCGUGAGAUGUUGGGUUAAGUCCCGCAACGAGCGCAACCCUCGUCGCAUGUUGCCAGCACGUUAUGGUGGGGACUCAUGUGAGACUGCCGGGGUCAACUCGGAGGAAGGUGGGGAUGACGUCAAAUCAUCAUGCCCCUUAUGUCUUGGGCUUCACGCAUGCUACAAUGGCCGGUACAAAGGGCUGCGAUGUCGUAAGGCGGAGCGAAUCCCAAAAAGUCGGUCUCAGUUCGGAUUGAGGUCUGCAAC
rnacentral:rRNA from 1 species